GGCUCCGGCCCUAUCAGCCUGAAGGCGCCCCGAUCUCGUCUGAUCUCGGAAGCUAAGCAGGGUCGGGCCUGGUUAGGAUCUUGGAUGGGAGACCACCUGGGAAUCCCGGGUGCUCGAGGCU
rnacentral:rRNA from 1 species